GGCCUCGUAGCUCAGCUGGUAGAGCAUGCGCGUACAAAGUGUAAGCGUCGUCCAUGCGUGGGUUCGAAUCCCACCGAGGCUA
rfam:Echinostoma caproni strain Egypt genome assembly, scaffold: ECPE_scaffold0000893